rnacentral:snoRNA from 1 species
AGACCAUGAUGAGGACAUUUUCUUAAUAGCUCCUUGAAUCUUUCCCAAGUUUCAUUUAAGGAUUCCCCCGUCCUCUUAUGAGUAU